AAGGUUAUAUGAUCAAGUAAAGGAAGAGCACAAGGCGGAUGCCUUGGCAGCAUAAGGCGAUGAACGGACGUUAUAACUUGCGAUAAGCUUCGGGGAGCUAGUAAAUAAGCUUUGAUCCGAAGAUU
rnacentral:rRNA from 1 species